rnacentral:rRNA from 1 species
AAUAGCCUAACGGCUGAACCAGCAACUUGGGGGAAUGUAUAGCGUAAGCUAGUUGUAUUAACUAAUAGUUGAUGCAAUAUCGCUCUCGUCGAAUAAAGUUCUAGGUAGAAUACUGAUAAUGACAAUUUUCUACCUAUAUGUCUUGACCAAAUCACGUGCCAGCAGUCGCGGUAAGACGUGGAAGACUAGUGUUAUUCAUCUUUAAUAGGUUUAAAGGGUACCUAGACGGUAUUUCUAGCCCAAAAAGGGUACGGAUUUGCUAGAGUUUAAUGUGAGAAGAGUGUAGUACUUAAGGUGUAGAGAUGAAAUCCUUUGAUACUUUGAGAGAACUGGUGGCGGCGAAAGCAACCUUCUAUGUAUAAACUGACGUUGAGGGACGAAGGCUUGGGUAGCAAAUAGGAUUAGAUACCCUAGUAGUCCAGGCAGAGAAUGAUGAAUGCCAUAGGCUAGGUUAAUCUUAGUCUAUAAAUGAAAGUGUAAGCAUUCCACCUUAAGAGUAAUGUGGCAACGCAGGAACUGAAAUCAUUAGACCGUUUCUGAGACCAGUAGUGAAGUAUGUUAUUUAAUUCGAUGAUCCGCGAAAAACCUUACCACAAUUUGAAUAUAAUACAAGCGUUGCACGGCUGUCUUCAGUUAAUGUCGUGAGACUUUGGUUGGUUCCAUUAAAUUAACGUAAACCCUUGUUUUAAUUACUAUUUUAAUAAAACAGUUCGCCUAUAUAUUGGGCAAGAUAAAAGGGACUAAGACAAGUCAUCAUGGCCUUUAUAUUGUGGGCUAUAGACGUGCCACAUAUUCCUAUACAAAGGGAUGCAAAAAUGUGAAUUUGAGCUAAUCCCUAAAGUAGGAUAUAACAU